GAGUUUGAUCCUGGCUCAGGACGAACGCUGGCGGUGCGCCUUAUGCAUGCAAGUUGAGCGAAGCUUUUUGGUAGUUUACUACUAGAAAUGACUGAGCGGCGAACGGGUGAGUAACGCGUGAGCAAUCUACCUUAGUUACUGGGAUAGCCCGAGGAAACUCGGAUUAAUACCGGAUAUUCUUAUUUUUUCACAUGAAGUUUUAAGGAAAGGUCAGCCGAACUAAGAUGAGCUCGCGUUCUAUCAGCUAGUUGGUGGGGUAAAAGCCUACCAAGGCUACGACGGAUAGCUGGUCUGAGAGGACGAUCAGCCACACUGGGACUGAGACACGGCCCAGACUCCUACGGGAGGCUGCAGCAGGGAAUAUUGUGCAAUGAGCGAAAGCUUGACACAGCGACACCGCGUGUGGGAUGACGGUUCUAGGAUUGUAAACCACUUUCAGGAGGGAAGAAAAUGACGGUACCUCCACAAGAAGACCCGGCCAACUAUGUGCCAGCAGCCGCGGUAAUACAUAGGGGUCAAGCGUUGUCCGGAUUUAUUGGGCGUAAAGAGCUCGUAGGCGGUUCAACAAGUCGGUCGUAAAAGUUUAGGGCUCAACCCUAAAAUGUCGAUCGAUACUGUUGUGACUAGGAUACGGUAGAGGUGAAUGGAAUUCCGAGUGUAGCGGUGAAAUGCGUAGAUAUUCGGAGGAACACCAAUUGCGAAGGCAGUUCACUGGACCGUGAUCGACGCUGAGGAGCGAAAGCUAGGGGAGCAAACAGGAUUAGAUACCCUGGUAGUCCUAGCUGUAAACGAUGGAUACUAGAUGUAGGAACUGGAUUGACGGUUUCUGUAUCGUAGCUGACGCGUUAAGUAUCCCGCCUGGGGAGUACGGUCGCAAGACUAAAACUCAAAGGAAUUGACGGGACCCCGCACAAGCGGCGGAGCAUGCGGCUUAAUUCGAUGAUACCCGUAGAACCUUACCUGGACUUGACAUAUAGGGAAAAACUGGAGAAAUCCAGUGUGCGUAAGCGCCCUAUACAGGUGGUGCAUGGCUGUCGUCAGCUCGUGUCGUGAGAUGUUGGGUUAAGUCCCGCAACGAGCGCAACCCCUGUCCUAUGUUGCCAGCAAGUAAUGUUGGGGACUCAUAGGAGACUGCCGGUGAUAAACCAGAGGAAGGUGGGGACGACGUCAAGUCAUCAUGCCCCUUAUGUCCAGGGCUGCACGCAUGCUACAAUGGCAAGUACAACGAGUCGCAAUACCGCGAGGUGGAGCAAAUCUCUUAAAGCUUGUCUCAGUUCGGAUAGGAGUCUGCAACUCGACUCCUUGAAGUUGGAGUCGCUAGUAAUCGCAAAUCAGCAAAGUUGCGGUGAAUACGUUCUCGGGGUUUGUACACACCGCCCGUC
rnacentral:rRNA from 1 species